rnacentral:pre_miRNA from 1 species
GAAAUACUCUCUCCGUUCUGAAAUUCUUGUCUUAGCUUUGCCUGGAUGUGAAUUUAUCUAGUCACGUUUUAGUAUUUUGAUACAUCAAUUUCUAAACAAAUCUAAGAAAAAGAAUUUUGAGACGGAGGAAGUACUAU